UCUCCGUUGGUGAACCAGCGGAGGGAUCAUUACCGAGUUUACAACUCCCAAACCCCUAUGUGAACGUUACCAAACUGUUGCCUCGGCGGGAAAUUCAUGCCCCGGGCGCGUCGCAGCCCCGAACCAAGGCGCCCGCCGGAGGACCAACCAAAACUCUUUUGUAUGUCCCUCGCUGACUUUUAUAAUUCUGAACCAUCUCGGCGCCCCUAGCGGGCGUUUCGAAAAUGAAUCAAAACUUUCAACAACGGAUCUCUUGGUUCUG
rnacentral:misc_RNA from 1 species